rnacentral:rRNA from 1 species
UCCGUAGGCGGGUUUAUAAGUCAGUGGUGAAAGUUUGCGGCUCAACCGUAAAAUUGCCAUUGAUACUGUAGACCUUGAAUUAGUGUGAAGUGGUUAGAAUGUGUAGUGUAGCGGUGAAAUGCAUAGAUAUUACACAGAAUACCAAUUGCGAAGGCAGAUCACUAACACUAUAUUGACGCUGAGGGACGAAAGCGUGGGGAGCGAACAGGAUUAGAUACCCUGGUAGUCC